CCCUUAGAUGUCCGGGGCCGCACGCGCGCUACACUGAAGGAAUCAGCGUGGCUUUCUCCCUGACCCGAAAGGGUUGGGAAACCCGUUGAAUCUCCUUCGUGAUAGGGAUUGGGGCUUGAAUUUGUUCCCCAUGAACGAGGAAUUCCCAGUAAGCGCGAGUCAUAAGCUCGCGUUGAUUACGUCCCUGCCCUUUGUACACACCGCCCGUCGCUACUACCGAUUGAACGGUUUAGUGAGGGCCUCGGAUUGGUCUCGGCCCGCUCUUUACCGGGCGGCGCCGUUGGUCGAGAAGACGCUCGAACUUGAUCGUUUAGAGGAAGUAAAAGUCGUAACA
rnacentral:rRNA from 1 species